rnacentral:rRNA from 1 species
CUAAUACAUGCAAGUCGAGCGCAGGAAGCAGACUGAUCUCCUUCGGGAGUGACGUUUGUGGAAUGAGCGGCGGACGGGUGAGUAACACGUGGGCAACCUGCCUGUAAGACCGGGAUAACUCGCGGAAACGUGAGCUAAUACCGGAUAAAGCUCCAUGCCGCAUGGCAUGGGGAUGAAAGACGGCUUAGCUGUCGCUUGCAGAUGGGCCCGCGGCGCAUUAGCUAGUUGGUGGGGUAAUGGCCUACCAAGGCGACGAUGCGUAGCCGACCUGAGAGGGUGACCGGCCACACUGGGACUGAGACACGGCCCAGACUCCUACGGGAGGCAGCAGUAGGGAAUCUUCCGCAAUGGACGCAAGUCUGACGGAGCAACGCCGCGUGAGCGAUGAAGGUCUUCGGAUCGUAAAGCUCUGUUGUCAGGGAAGAACACGUGUGAGAGUAACUGCUCACACCUUGACGGUACCUGACCAGAAAGCCACGGCUAACUACGUGCCAGCAGCCGCGGUAAUACGUAGGUGGCAAGCGUUGUCCGGAAUUAUUGGGCGUAAAGGGCUCGCAGGCGGUCCCUUAAGUCUGAUGUGAAAUCUUGCGGCUUAACCGCAAGCGGUCAUUGGAAACUGGGGGACUUGAGUACAGAAGAGGAGAGUGGAAUUCCACGUGUAGCGGUGAAAUGCGUAGAGAUGUGGAGGAACACCAGUGGCGAAGGCGG